rnacentral:tRNA from 4 species
GUGGGAUUAGUUCAUUGGUAGAACACCUGCUUCCCAAGCAGGAUAGGCGGGUUCGAUUCCCGUAUCCCGCUCCA